UCCUGUGUGACUCAGUUGGUAGAGCAUGGUGCUUGCAACGCCAGGGUCGUGGGUUCACUUCCCACAGGGGAU
rnacentral:tRNA from 1 species